rnacentral:lncRNA from 1 species
AUCGUUCUUAUAACACAUGGAUUGGAUUAAGCCACAAAUAAGAGAGGAGAGAGAAAUUGAAGAAAAGAAGACGAGUAAUUCAGAAAGAAAGAUAGAUAGAUAGAUCUGGCCAUCUGGGUUGGGUUGAUCCUGAUGGAGAAGAAAAUGGUGGUGGCAGCUUUGUUGUUGGCUCUGUUUGUAUUAUCUUCCAACAUAAAGCCGGCGGAAUCUGGUCCCGAAGACUGCAUAGACGCUUGUUUCACCGGUUGCGUCAAUCCCAACAGUAAUUACUACUUCUACGUCUCCAUCCCCACCCCAUCCCAUUUUUCUUUUCGAUUCCUUUCUAAAUUUGGUGUUUUCUUUGCUUGGAAUUUGGAAAGUUUGGAGUAAGAUAUGAAAAAAAAAAUAGUAAUAUACGAAAGGAAAUGAAAAACUAACAAAAUAUCCCUUUCCCCUUGUUUUACCCUCUUAUUGUUAUAGUACUUGGAGCAUGUUUAAAUAACACUUAUAAGUUGGUCAAAUUAAUUUAUAAAUUUUUUUUAUUUUUUAUGUUAGAAUGUUUUGGGUGACUUAUUUUUUGAUUUAUAAAUUAUUUUUAAUAAGUACCAAAUUUUAACUUAUUAAAAAAUUGACUUAUAAACUAUUUUAAAAUAAUUAAGUUUGAUUAAAAGAUUAUUUUGUUAUUAUUUUAAUAGUAUUUACAUUUUAUUUUAAUUUAUAAGUUAUUUUAGUUAAACAAGUUCACAUUUUAUUUUAAUUUAAUUUCUGAUAUAUAAGUCAAAAUAAUUCGUUUUUACUUAAUUUUUACCUUAUUUAUAAUAUAUGAAUCUUCUAUUUACAUAAUUAAUGAGAUACCUGAACUGGAUUCAUAUAAUGUUUUCUUUUAUAUUAGAGCACAAUUAGUGUAUACAAAAGCACUUAUUAUUGUUAUUUUAUUUUUAAUUUUCAGCCAGGAUUAUGCAGCGUUGUGAGGGCAAGUGUAGGUAUUUUUCACCACCUGUAAUUCUAUAUUACUUUCAUAUUGUUUAAGUGUAAUAAUUCUAGGGAGUCUUUUAUUAUAUUUUUUGAAUAUUAAAGUUUAUAUUUUGUAUAAAAAAAUUAUUAAGGCAAAUUGGAAUACAAAAAGGGGAUCGUUUUGUAUAAUUAAAUACACCUCUUUUUUAUAUUUGUAUAAAAGGUUUUUUUUGUUACUUUUCAAAACAAUAUUAUUUUUAUAAUAUUAUUGUUGAUUUUUUGAAACUCAAAUUGAAACAGUUUUAAAUUUAAAAUUAGGAAAUUGAUAUUUAAGUAUAGACAAUUAAAAUCUUUUAUAAAAUUAUUGACACAAGAUGUCUAAUUCUUUUCUCUUCUCUUUUUUUUGCCCUAGAGCAGGUUUUAAAGCUAAUGAUUGAUUAGGUUGCCGGAAAAAUUGGAACUGCAAUUAACUUGAUGAUGUGGAUAUUCUCAAGAUGUAAACUAAAUGGGGUUGAGUUCAAGUGAAACAAGAAUGUUAUUUAAUAGUGUAAACUUUUAUUACCGUAUUCAAAUUUUACUUUGAAUUUCACUUUAGUCCUUAUUGUUCUUAUUAUUCGAAUUUGAGACUUCAAGUUUGUCUACUUUUUAAGUACAGUUUCUUUAACUAAUCUAAUCUUGUACGGAUUAAGUCAAUCUAAAAUCUAAAAUGCGAUUUGAUACCAUAUUAACAAGGGAGUUGAUAUUUUUGUAGCAAUUUUUGAUAUUUCUGUAUGCGGAGUUUACGUUUUUAAUCAAAUUAAUAUUAAUAUUUUGGUUAAAAAUUGAGUUUUACAUGUAAAAAUAUCAAAAAAAAUAUAAUAUUUUUUUUAUAUUUUUGCGUGCGGGAUUCAGUUUUUAACCAAACCAAUAUUACUAUAUGGUUAAAAAAUGAGUAUCACAUGUAAAAAUAUUAAAAAUUAUUGUG